AAUAUUGGACAAUGGGGGCAACCCUUAUCCAGCCAUGCCGCGUGUGUGAAAAAGGUCCNCGGAGUNUNAAGCACUCUAAGUUGGGNAGAAGGGCUUUAGGCCAAUACCCUUAAGUUUAGACGUUACUAACAGAAUAAGCACUGGCUAACUCUGGGCCAGCAGCCGCGUGAAUACAGCGGGUGCAAGCGUUGACCGGAAUUAAUGGGCGUAGAGCGCGCGUAGGUGUUUCAGUAAGAUGGGUGUGAGAUCGCCGGGCUUAACCGGGGAACUGCUUUCAAAACUGCUGAGCUAGAGUACGGUAGAGGGUAGUGGAUUUUCCUGUGUAGCGGUGAAAUGCGUAGAUAUAGAAAGGAACACCAGUGGCGAAGGCGACUACCUGGACUGAUACUGACACUGAGGUGCGAAAGCGUGGGGAGCAAACA
rnacentral:rRNA from 1 species